AUCAAGCAAGCAUUUCGUGGUAGUAUUUUUGAAUAUCUAGGCAAAUAUUUGAAAGUUAGGAGGGGGGGCCCGGGCCUCCCCCCCUGCCCCUACCUGGCUACGCCCAUGAUUACAGCAGAGGAAUCGCAAAAUACGCGUUUGGUUUGCAGUUCGAAUCCUCCUUCCUAUCCCCCAACUGUAAGCUCUGAAGUACCAAAAGUAUACACGAAGCUGCUGCGUCUAAUCGAAUUUGAUACUGUUGUCGCCACACAUGGCCCUGGCAUGGAUGUGGAUGAACUGCCACCACACAAGCGUAAAUCGAAUAGUGAACUUGGACCACCUGCCAAGCAGCAAAAGACAAUUUAUCCAGCCUAUUUUAUACCAGAAUUAGCGCACGUUAUUGCGAUGUUUUUUAAUCUAUCACAGGAAUUGUCGAGACAUGAAAUACCAAAUAGCGGCUUGCAAGUGGAAGCUAAGACUAUGUUCAAACAGGCCAAUUAGCUUAUGCAAUUAGUAUUUGACAGCUGUGUGUUUUGAUUUUACUUGUGAAAAAUUCGGCGCGGAAAAUAGAGAAAACUUGAGUUUAGGACGAAUUUUACUAGCAGUCAAUACUGUCAAAAUUUGAUAGCAGCUUGGCAUUGUUGAGAAAAAGAAGGAGAAAUAAUUUGCUAGUCCUUCAAAUUUAAGGAUGCAGCAGCUACUGAUCCUAGCAGCAUUGGAACAAAAUGCAACUCAAAGGUCGCUGUAGAAGCUGAAUCGGCAAUCUUCUUUUUGGGAGGUCAACUGCAGCUGCAAUGAUGACCACUUUUUCAAACCCGAUUUUCGCAUGACACGUGCCAGUUUUAACACACUCUGUGGCUUUCUCGGCAAUUAAAAAAAAAAAGCCGAUGCAAGCUGGCGCACGGCAAUUUCAUUGCAAAACGAGUAGCAAUCGCUUUAUUUGCCCUUUGUUCAGCUGGAGAGUAUCGAGUAGUAUAUGAAUUGUUUGGUGUUGGCAAAUCAACUGUGUGUGCAAUAUUGAUGGAAUUCUGCGAAGAAGUGUGGCAAGCGUUGUCCACACAGUAUAUAAAGAAAUUGCCACCCACGCAAGAAAUAGUUGCUGAAUGUGUGAAUGGUUUUCAUCGCCGUGGCUUUCCACAAUGUCUGGGAGCAAUUGAUGGAUGUCACAUCGAAAUAAAACCAAACACGACUGAUGCAACUGACUAUUACAAUUAUAAGGGAUGGUAUUCUGUUGUACUUCUUGCGCUUGUGGAUUACAGAUACCGUUUUUUAUAUAUAAAUAUUGGUGCACCGGGACGUUGCAAUCACUCCCACAUAUAUAAUCCAUCCCUACUUAAAAAGGUGUUAACUGAGGACUAAGUAUUGGCGGCCAAUAAGAAGAAUAUAUGCACAGAGACCGUUUUUUAUAUAUAAAUAUUGGUGCUCCGGGACGUUGCAAUGACUCCCAAAUAUAUAAUUAAUCCUUACUUAAAAAGAUGUUAACUGAGGACGAAGUAUUGGCGGCCAUUAAGAAGAAUAUAUGUGGUGUACAAAUGCCGGUCUGUAUCUUGGGGGAUUCGGCAUUUCGUUUUUCCACCACUUUAAUGAAACCAUACGCCUUUUCUACGGCCUUGACAGAGAGACAAAAAUUAUUCAAAUUAUUUCAAAGUACAGAAGAGUGGUAGAGAAUGCUUUCGGUCAUUUAAAAGUCCGUUUUCGUCGCAUUGGAAAAGGCUUAGAUAACCGAAUAGGGAACACGCCGAUGAUUAUUCGAGCUUGCUGUGUUUUACACAACUUUUUAAACGAAGAAUGUGAUAAUAUUAAUCAAAUAUGGUUGGGAAAUUUGGAAUAAUUUGAACGAAAUCGGGAAAACCCUUCGCAAAAUGUUGUACUUGGUGAUAACGAAGCCUCAGCUGAAAUCAUAAGACAAUCGUUGUGUUCUUAUUUUGGGAAGUAAAAGUUAUUCUUUCUCCAUAACUUUUUAUUGAAAAAAUUUAUUUAUUUAUUCGCAUUCAGAAAGUAAUUGAUAAGUUUUAUUAUUUUUUUUUAUUUAUACAAGUUUACAGAAAUAAAUACAUUUUCCGAUCUUGGACAUUUGACCAACACUUCUAAAGUAAAACUUUCCGUCGAAUCCGAAUAUGAAGUCAAAAUAUAAUCAAGUAGUAGUUGCGAUAAAGUAAGUUUACUUUUCUUUAAAGAAGUGAAGAUAAGUCCACUCAAUGUUUUAUAAUGCAGUUGGUCAAUUACCAAAUGCUUUUUGCGUAGGUUAAACUGACUAAAUUAACCGUCAUCUAUGUCAACAACAUUUUCACACUGGAUUAGUGCUUUAAGAGCUAUACAUUAGUUUCUACACAAAUACGCAUAAUUUCAUUAAUUAUAAAAAAUUUUCAAAAUAACAAAAAAAACUUUCGGUACAAAUAUCAAGAUGAAAUAAUUUAAAAUUUUUCUAUAGUUAAAGAAAUUAUGCGUAUUUGUAUAGAAACUAAUGUAUAGCUCCUAAACCACUAAUCCGGUUGAAAAAUGUUGUUGCCAUAGAUGACGGUUAAUUUAGUCAGUUUAACCUACGCAAAAAGAAU